AUCAAAGAUCGAGUUCUCUGAAUGCACCAGAUCCCAUUUGAUCUUGGAAGCUAGCAGAGUCAACCCUGGUUAGUACUUAGAUGAAUGACCACUAAUGAAUAGCAGAUGUUGUAGGCU
rnacentral:rRNA from 1 species